ACAUGGGGGAUACUCGGGGUCCUGAACCUCUCUUCCAGCCAUGACCUUUCUUUCAGAAUCUGAGGCCCCUUCUCUUUCUCUCUGAGUCUCCGUCCAUUCUCCUGGGUCACUGCAUCUCUAUCUCUGGGUCUCUGUUCUCCCCUGUCUCUAGGACUCUUUUAUUUAUUUAUUUAUUUAUUUAUUUUUAUUUAUUUUGAGACGGAGUCUCACUCCAUCGCCCAGGCUGCACUGCAGUGGCACAAUCUCGGCUCACUGCAGCCUCCACCUCCCAGGUUCAAGCAAUUCUCCCUGCUCAUCCUCUUGAGUAGCUGGGAUUACAGGCAUGCACCACCGCACCACACCUAGCUAAUUUUUGUAUUUUUUGGUAGAGACAGGGUUUUGCCAUGUUGGCCAGGCUGCUCUGAAACUCCUGGACUCAAGCUAUCCACCCUUCUCAGCCUCCCAAAGUGCUGGGAUUACCCAGGCUGGAGUGCAGGGGUGUUAUCAUGGCCCACUGCAGCCUCAAACUUCUGUCCUCAAGUGAUCCUCCUGCCUGAGCCUCCCUAUUAGCUGGGACUACAGGCACAUGCCAGCAUGCCUAGCUAAUCUAGCUCAUUCUUUUAUUUAUUUAUUAAUAUUUUUUGAGACAGGGUCUCCUGUCACCCAGGCUGGAGUGCAGUGGCGUAAUCAUAGUUCACUGCAGCCUUGAAUUCCUGGGCUCAGGUGAUCCUCCUUCCUUAGUCUCCUGAGUAACUGGGAUUACAGUCACAUACCACCAUGCCCAGCUAAUCUAGGUCUCUGUUUUAUUUAUUUAUUUGUUUGUUUAUUUUUCAAUACAGAGUUUUGCUCUUGUUGCCCAG